GAUGAAGAACGCAGCGAAAUGCGAUAAGUAAUGUGAAUUGCAGAAUUCAGUGAAUCAUCGAAUCUUUGAACGCACAUUGCGCCCGCCAGUAUUCUGGCGGGCAUGCCUGUCUGAGCGUCAUUUCAACCCUCAUGCCCCUAGGGCGUGGUGUUGGGGAUCGGCCAAAGCCCGCGAGGGACGGCCGGCCCCUAAAUCUAGUGGCGGACCCGUCGUGGCCUCCUCUGCGAAGUAGUGAUAUUCCGCAUCGGAGAGCGACGAGCCCCUGCCGUUAAACCCCCAACUUUCCAAGGUUGACCUCAGAUCAGGUAGGAAUACCCGCUGAACUUAAGCAUAUCAAGAAGCGGAGGA
rnacentral:misc_RNA from 1 species